UACGUAGGCAGCGAGCGUUGUUCGGAGUUACUGGGCGUAAAGCGUGCGUAGGCGGUGUCUUAAGUUUGUUGUGAAAUCUCCCGGCUUAACCGGGAGGGUGCGGCGAAUACUGAGAUGCUGGAGUGCCGGAGAGGUAAGCGGAAUUCCUGGUGUAGCGGUGAAAUGCGUAGAUAUCAGGAGGAACACCUGCGGUGUAGACGGCUUACUGGACGGUAACUGACGCUGAGGCACGAAAGCUAGGGGAGCGAACAGG
rnacentral:rRNA from 1 species